GCUCAAAUUUGAAAUCUGGGGUCCUCGACCUCCGAGUUGUAAUUUGGAGAGGCAUCUUCGGGGGGGAGCGCCGGCCCAUGUUCCUUGGGACAGGACGUCACAGAGGGUGAGAAUCCCGUGCCUGGCCGGCUGCCUCCUCCCGGGUGGAGGGCCUUCGACGAGUCGAGUUGUUUGGGAAUGCAGCUCCAAGUGGGUGGUAAAUUUCAUCUAAAGCUAAAUACCGGCGGGAGACCGAUAGCGCACAAGUAGAGUGAUCGAAAGAUGAAAAGCACUUUGAAAAUAGAGUCAAAAAGUACGUGAAAUUGUUGAAAGGGAAGCGCUUGAGACCAGACUCAGGCCUGGGCAAACAUCGCGCCCCUCGGGGCCGUGCAAUUGCCUGGGCCUGGGCCAGCAUCAGUUGGCGUGGCGGGACAAAGGCGCGGGGAAUGUGGCUCCCCUCGGGGAGUGUUAUUAGGCCCGCGCUCAAUGCCGCCGACGUCGACUGAG
rnacentral:rRNA from 1 species